rnacentral:lncRNA from 1 species
CUGAUUAAAAUUAUGAUUUUUAAAAUUAUGAAUUUUGAAGAACAUUUUUAAAUAUGAACAUUUAGUGUUUGUCCAAAAUCUGUUAACUCAUCAUCUUUCUCUUUUGACUUGCAUGUUUUUGAUAAAAUGAUUGAAGGUAUAAGCCAAGGGACUCUGUCUCUCUUGAUUCUUCUCAGAAUGACUGGAGGUAUAAGGCAAGGGACUCUGUCUCUCUUGAUUCUUCUCAGAAUGACUGGAGGUAUAAUCCAGGGGACUCUGUCUCUCUUGAUUCUUCUCAGAAUGACUGGAGGUAUAAGCUUGUCUCUCUCUGAGAUUCUUCUCAGAAUGAUUGCCAAGGGACUCCGUCUCCUUGAUUCUUCUCAGAAUGAUGGAGGUAUUUGUAGGGACUCUGUCUCUCUUGAUUCUUCUCAGAAUGACUGGAGGUAUAAGUAAGGGACUCUGUCUCUCUAGAUUCUUCUCAGAAUGAUUGGAGGUAUAAGUAGUGGGUCUCAUUGGGGUCUAAGCGUGACGCGGGAUUGCCGAUUUUUUGUAAGCGUACACGUGAAAGUCAAAUUAUUGUGUCGGAAAACAGGAAUUAGGUCUAGCGGGACCGGGAAAUGACAAAAAAUGAGAAAUGCUUACGUACAUAGUGUAAGCGGAUACGGAAUCUGACAAACAGUAAGCGGGAUCGGAUCGGAACCCUUGAGACCCUAGUAAGGGAUAUGUCUCUCUAAUUCUUCUCAGAAUGAUUGGAGGUAUAAGUCAGGGACCUUGUCUCUCUACUCUCAAAUGAUGGAGGUAUAAGUCAGGACUUUCUCUAGGUUCUUCUCAGAAGAUUGAGGUAAAGUCAGGCUUCUGUCUCUGAGGUUGUGUAUAUUUAGGUUAAAAUGUAUGAAAUGGCCCUUGUGAUUUUAUAUAUGCAUUACCAAACUGUUGUAUAUUUUUACCUUAUUUAUUUGUUCAUCAAUGUUAUUGUUUAAUAGCUUCACAAUUGCUGCAUUAUAAAAACUAGUAUAAUAAAUCCUGCUUUAAAUUGUGUUCAAGUUUUAUUUGAUAACCAUAUAUUUGUUAUGGAAGCUAGUUAUAUCAGAUGAAAUAUAUAAAUAUAAAUGUGUAGCAAAGUAACAUUUAGUUAGUAUAUAGUCAGGGAAAGAAAUUAUCCAGUAAAAGGGGGGGGAUUUACCACAUUAUUGUAGCUGAUUUAGUUACCUUUGAUAUAGAAUGAUCGGAAUUAGUAAAAGACUCUAAAAUUGAACAGUCUUCAGUUGAUGUCUUAACAUUUUUGUAACAAAAACAAAAUUGUGAACCAUCUUGAAAUAAACCUUCUGAAUAGUUUCUUAUUCUAUGACUGUGUGUUAUGUUCAUAUUGCAUGUACGUUUUCAUGGUUUUGUUAAAUAAACACAUUAUAUACCAUGACAAAUUGUCGUUAUGUUUAUAGUUUGUCUUUAUACCUAUGCCACUCUU